GAGGUUAAGCGACUAAGCGUACACGGUGGAUGCCCUGGCAGUCAGAGGCGAUGAAGGACGUGCUAAUCUGCGAUAAGCGCCGGUAAGGUGAUAUGAACCGUUAUAACCGGCGAUUUCCGAAUGGGGAAACCCAGUGUGACUCGUCACACUAUCAUUAACUGAAUCCAUAGGUUAAUGAGGCGAACCGGGGGAACUGAAACAUCUAAGUACCCCGAGGAAAAGAAAUCAACCGAGAUUCCCCCAGUAGCGGCGAGCGAACGGGGAGGAGCCCAGAGCCUGAAUCAGCAUGUGUGUUAGUGGAAGCGUCUGGAAAGGCGCGCGAUACAGGGUGACAGCCCCGUACACAAAAGCGCAUAUGCUGUGAGCUCGAUGAGUAGGGCGGGACACGUGGUAUCCUGUCUGAAUAUGGGGGGACCAUCCUCCAAGGCUAAAUACUCCUGACUGACCGAUAGUGAACCAGUACCGUGAGGGAAAGGCGAAAAGAACCCCGGCGAGGGGAGUGAAAAAGAACCUGAAACCGUGUACGUACAAGCAGUGGGAGCACCCUUUGGGGUGUGACUGCGUACCUUUUGUAUAAUGGGUCAGCGACUUAUAUUCUGUAGCAAGGUUAACCGAAUAGGGGAGCCGGAGGGAAACCGAGUCUUAAUUGGGCGUUAAGUUGCAGGGUAUAGACCCGAAACCCGGUGAUCUAGCCAUGGGCAGGUUGAAGGUUGGGUAACACUAACUGGAGGACCGAACCGACUAAUGUUGAAAAAUUAGCGGAUGACCUGUGGCUGGGGGUGAAAGGCCAAUCAAACCGGGAGAUAGCUGGUUCUCCCCGAAAGCUAUUUAGGUAGCGCCUCGUGAA
rnacentral:rRNA from 1 species